GAACUUGCCUCUUGGUCUGGGACAACUGUUGGAAACGACAGCUAAUACCGGAUAUUAUGAGAUUCUCGCAUGGGAAACUUAUGAAAGCUAUAUGCGCCAAGAGAGAGCCUUGCGUUCCAUUAGCUAGUUGGUGGGGUAACGGCCCACCAAGGCGACGAUGGAUAGCCGGCCUGAGAGGGUGAACGGCCACAAGGGGACUGAGACACGGCCCUUACUCCUACGGGAGGCAGCAGUGGGGAAUAUUGGACAAUGGGCCACAAGCCUGAUCCAGCAAUUCUGUGUGCACGAUGAAGGUCUUCGGAUUGUAAAGUGCUUUCAGUUGGGAAGAAGAAAGUGACGGUACCAACAGAAGAAGCGACGGCUAAAUACGUGCCAGCAGCCGCGGUAAUACGUAUGUCGCAAGCGUUAUCCGGAUUUAUUGGGCGUAAAGCGCGUCUAGGCGGAAAAAUAAGUCUGAUGUUAAAAUGCGGGGCUCAACUCCGUAUUGCGUUGGAAACUGUUUUUCUAGAGUACUGGAGAGGUGGGCGGAACUACAAGUGUAGAGGUGAAAUUCGUAGAUAUUUGUAGGAAUGCCGAUGGAGAAGUCAGCUCACUGGACAGAUACUGACGCUAAAGCGCGAAAGCGUGGGGAGCAAACAG
rnacentral:rRNA from 1 species